rnacentral:rRNA from 1 species
CCUACGGGUGGCUGCAGUGGGGAAUAUUGCACAAUGGGCGCAAGCCUGAUGCAGCCAUGCCGCGUGUGUGAAGAAGGCCUUCGGGUUGUAAAGCACUUUCAGCGGGGAGGAAGGCGGUGAGGUUAAUAACCUCAUCGAUUGACGUUACCCGCAGAAGAAGCACCGGCUAACUCCGUGCCAGCAGCCGCGGUAAUACGGAGGGUGCAAGCGUUAAUCGGAAUUACUGGGCGUAAAGCGCACGCAGGCGGUCUGUCAAGUCGGAUGUGAAAUCCCCGGGCUCAACCCGGGAACUGCAUUCGAAACUGGCAGGCUAGAGUCUUGUAGAGGGGGGUAGAAUUCCAGGUGUAGCGGUGAAAUGCGUAGAGAUCUGGAGGAAUACCGGUGGCGAAGGCGGCCCCCUGGACAAAGACUGACGCUCAGGUGCGAAAGCGUGGGGAGCAAACAGGAUUAGAUACCCGUGUAGUC